CGUACGAACACCAAAGUUAAGCAACGUCGAGCCUGGUCAGUACCUAGAUGGGUAACUCCUUGGGAAUACCAGGUGCUGUAAG